CUACUAGAAAUCUGUUCAUAGACAUCGCAUGUUUUAAAUCGGUCAGACUUGCACACGAUGUAAAAACGUAAUCUAACAUCGUUUUACGAAAAUACCGAUUUAAAUGUAUAUCAUUAGCAUCGGGUCUUAAAAUGACCGGUGUUAAAAGUUUUGUUUGAAAAUUUGCGGGAACCUAUUUUUGCAAAACGCGCUAAGUGUUUUAAGUGAAUUGAAGAAGCGGGUACUAAAUCUAAAAACUUUCACACUUAGAAAAAAAAAAAUUAAAGCCCGAUCCCAAAAGUUAGACAGAAAACCCUAAGCUCUCGCGCGGCCUCCUUCUCACUCGAACUUGCCUUCAUUCUAAACUCACCCCAAUCUGGAUCUCCUCCCAAACCCGACCUCCAUCUCCUCCCUUCCUUCCUUCCUUCAUCUACGUCCUCAGCUUCUUCGGCAUCAACUCCGUCCAGUCUGGCAUCGACUUCGUCCAGUCCGGCAUCGACUUCGUCCAGUCCGUCCUCAGCUUAUUUGUCGAAGCAUUUCUAAACAGCGCCGUUCAGUCUUAGCCUGUGGAAUCGAAUCAAGAGAGCGGCGGCCAGUCGGCGCGACUCACUUCAGAGAACGACUCCGUUGUGGGAUUCGAAGGAUUUGCCUGUAGAAGGAUUCUAGGAGUCGCCGGUCGGAGGCGAAGUAAUCUUAACUUCCCAUCGUUUGCUUUGUGGAAACCUAGACCUAAGAAUAUGCUGCUUGACUAGAAACAACAGAGCCUCAAGAUUGGCGAUGGGAUCAGUCAGUCUUUCACUUUCUUUUGCGAGUUUUUAUGCUGGACAUGGUCACUCUCUGUUACCAGGUGCUGGAGAUUUUGCUUGGGUCCACAGAUUACUUGACUUGGCGGACAUUUGGAACCUCGGCUGCAUCUUCGGUUUUCGCACGAUUUACACCUCUACAAUGUGGCUGGAUUCUUGGACUAAGAAUGAGAUGGACCUGGGUUUCUUGGUAUAUAAAUAUGCAGUGCGCUUUGGGUUGUCUUCAAAGAGCUUUUGUGACCUUAUCACUGAUAUGGGUUCUCAUGGGUGUACAGGGGUGGAAUUAUGAUUUCUUAUUUUGAAAGUUGAUGAUUAUACUUCUUGAAUCUCCAUAUAUUGCAGCUUUUUACCAUUUGGAAUUGUAUUAAUAAGGUCAUAUCUACUAUAUCAAGUUAAUCGAGAGAUGCUAGUAUGACAUGCAAGAUGUAAUAUAUACCGGUCAUGACAUUGUUGAUGCAUGUAAGAGCAGUAAGUUCCUUUAUUUGAAUCAAUAGAUUUAACUUUGACCUCAACUAGCAACCUUCCAUGGAUACAUGUCACCUCAACUAGCAAUUUGACUUAAAUGUCUACAUUGGUAUCAUUCUUUGUCACAACAUUUCUGAUACAAUCUGUUUACUUAGGUGCUGAUCUCCAAAAGGGAAUAGCCAGAGGCUCCUCUUUCCCCUGCAAUGGAUGCUGUAAUAAGAGUAUUCAAACGUGUCGCUGGAUUAUCUAAGUGUGCAGGCGAGGCAGAGUUGUCUGGUGCUGCUGGAGUUGCAUUCUGUUCCAUCCGUUUGUUGGUAGCAUCCACACAAGCGAUUAAUUUAAUUGGAAAACAAGGAUCAUUAAUCAAAUCUAUAGAGGAGAGUACCGCUGCUUCUGUGCGAGUGUUGUCUGGAGGGCCUUGGAUUACAAGUUGUGAAAUAUUUGGCUGCCAAAUAUGAAGAGCUAGGGUGUGAAGUGAAAUGGAUGGGCAAGCCUGAUAAGGUGAUCUAGUCACAUUGGUCUGGUUACCGCUGUUAACUUCACUUCAUGUGAACCUUUAGCUUAAUACAUAUUUCUCUUGCACUUGACUACUAAGAUGAAUUUUGAGCAAGGCUAGUUUUUGCUUUGAAGCAAAGUUUGGUGUUGAAAUUUUGUAGAUUGUUGCUCAUAUGUUUCUAGGCUAGCCUUUGUAGGUUUUGGGGUUUUCUUUUGUGACAUAUGUUCAAUCAUGAAUUUGGAAAGAAAAUUAAGGAGAGCCCCAAUUUUUGGAUGAUUAUGAAAUGCAUUUCUUUUCCUAGCAGCAGCUAG